rnacentral:rRNA from 1 species
AUUGAACGCUGGCGGCAGGCCUAACACAUGCAAGUCGAGCGAGCGGCGGACGGGCGAGUAAUGUAUGGGGACUGCCCGAUAGAGGGGGAUAACUACUGGAAACGGUAGCUAAUACCGCAUACUAUCGGAUAACCCAUAUGGGAUUAGCUAGUAGGUGAGGUAAUGGCUCACCUAGGCGACGAUCCCUAGCUGGUCUGAGAGGAUUAUCAGCCACCGUGGUACUCAGACCCGCCCCAGACUCCUACGGGGGGAGCAGUGGGGAAUAUUGCACAAUGGGCGCAACCCUGCUGGAGCCAUGCCGCGUGUAUAAAGAAGGCCCUAGGUUUGUAAAUUACUUUCUGUCGGGAGGCGUUCCCGACAGAAGAAGCACCGGCUAGCCCCGUGCCAGCAGCCGCGGUAAUUC